rnacentral:lncRNA from 1 species
CACACACACACACACACACAUCAAGGGGACAUGCUACCAUUUUCUUUCCUUUCUGUGGGGUUUCUUUUUAUUUUUUUCAAACGUUAAACGUUUCAAUAAAGUCGAGCACCUGUCAAUAAAUCGAAAUUGCCCUCUCGUAUUAUUUUUAUCGGCUACGUUUUCUGGUUUACAUUGCACGAUGGUGGCACACUCACACACACACACACACACACAAUCUGCUUCAAAUUUCACAGCACUGCCACAGGGUGCCACGCCCACACAGACACAGCGCUCCUGUACCUUGCCAUAUGUGUGUCUGUGUCUGUGUCUGUGUCUGUGUGUGCGACCUUCGUGGCGCUAUCUCUCAUUCGGCGUCGUCGUUCUGGGAAAGGUUCAUCCUUCGUCCUCGUCAGCGCCAUCAUCUUCUUACAGUUGAGCGAGUCCUGCGGGUGCCCCUGCAAAAUGGCUCCAACCUUCUGCUGCCUUUCUCCUACUCCUAUCUGCUGCUUGUUCUGGCCUCUGCGGUUUUCCACUCUUCAGCUCUGACUCUCUCUCUCUCUCUCUUUUUGGAAUUUGUUGUAGCCUCCCUCUCUCCGUCCAGAAUUUGUUGUAGC